rnacentral:misc_RNA from 1 species
UUUCCGUAGGCGAACCUGCGGAAGGAUCAUUACAAAGUUCAUGCCCUCACGGGUAGAUCUCCCACCCUUGAAUAUUUAUACCUUAGUUGCUUUGGCAGGCCGUGGAAACACCAUGGGCUCCGGCUUAUGCGUGCCUGCCAGAGGAAACAAACUCUGUUUUUUAGUGAUGUCUGAGUACUAUAUAAUAGUUAAAACUUUCAACAACGGAUCUCUUGGUUCUG